rnacentral:rRNA from 1 species
UUCGGUGGUUAUAGCGGUGGGGGAACGCCCGGUUACAUUCCGAACCCGGAAGCUAAGCCUGCCAGCGCCGAUGGUACUGCGAGGGGGACCUCGUGGGAGAGUAGGUCACCGCCGAAC